GAACCUUGAAGAACUUCCUCAUUAAAAACCUCACCAAGGAAAACCCUUUGGGACAAAACUUUGAUGAGGGAAAAAGAGUAAAGUCUCCAAGGCCUAGGGAUUGCCCAGUGAGUCUUUGUGUCUUAGUAUAAGUGGGUGUAGACACAAAGACUCAGGAUCAUGGCCUCUUCACUUCACCCCAUGCCUUGUACUCUUCUCACAGCCUGCUCGUGGUCUCUCCCCCUUUCACCUAACCUUCUUGUUAGGUUGAAGUGCUCGGACAUACCAGAUCAGCCUCUUCAUAGAGAUACAAGUACUAGCUGAGCCUUGGAUGCUUCUUCUUCAUGAGUCACCACCUUGUUGCUGGAACUACAUGAGGAUGCUUCAGCCUCUCUCCAACCACCUCAACACUUGAGACCGCCUUGGACAUUGCUUCUUCAUCCUUCACCAUACUUCCUAACCGGUUUGCUUCUCUUCUUGAAUAACAACCAAGGACUCUCGGAUCAUGUAAGCUUCAACACUCCCCCUCAAGCUUGAGACUCUCACAUGAACAAGCUUGGACAGACUGCUUCAUGAUCCGCACACACAAGCCAUUGCAACCUCUCUUCUGAAUUCGCCACCAUGAUGGAAUGCUUGUGGAAGCUUCAACUACUUCUUCAACCACCUCAACACUAGAAGUCAUACUGAUAGAGUAGCCUCCUUCUUCACACAGCCAAGAGUGCUCUGUCUUAGUUUGAACACUCUCUUGAAUAGACACGCCACUGCCUAGACCGGUUGGCUUCUUCUUCAGUUGCUUGCAAUGACUCUUUGAUCGCCUAGGAAGCUCACUUAACUCCCCUCCUCAAGCUUGGCCGAAUCUAGGCCUAAGCUUGGAGUGAGCUUCAGUGAGCUUUAACACCAUGUGGCCGCAUCAACACAGACUAGUAACCACUCUCCAUUGCUUCACACAAAUGGGCAAAGUCUUCCUUUUUCAACUCGGAUGAAUGGUGAGCUAAGAACACAACUUGUGAACCUGAAACAUCACUCAAACUCCAGCAAAGAUAAGACACAAUAGUAUUGGGAUCAAUCCUUGAUUAAUCAUCAAGUUUGAUUCCCAAUAUCACAAGCAAUGCAACAGAUUAAACAAGACAAUAUCAAGUUCUAAUCUUUGCAAGCAAACUCUCUAAGCACAAGCAUGAUCAUAACAGAUUCAAUACAAGCUACUUAAGCAUUUUCCUUUUUCUUUUAAAGCUCCUUUACUCAGCAAUUUAGACAUGAAUCUAAUGCUUCAAUAUAAGGCAGCCACAAGACAAUAUGCAUUAAUCUUAAUCAGUUUCUAACUCAUGAAUGCAAGUUGGAUAAAACAGAUUCUAUUAUCCAAACAAGUCAUUUCAUUUUAGAACUGGGAUUAAGCAUUUUAAACAUUCUCAAUCAUCAAACCAAGCUCUUUAAGCAUCCUGGGACAGAUUCUAUAACAUUUUAUUUAGCAAUCUUUAAACAAUCUUCAGGUUUUCAAUCACAUCACAACAUCACAACCAGUCAAUAACACAAGCUCAUUAACAAGAAGGGUUUUAAGAAUCGCUUACACAAGGAACCAGGUUGGUUCCUUAAACCUCAAAAGGGACUGGCCAUGGCUUUUGUUGGAUCUGAGAGUCAGGAUAGUCACCCACCUCCUUCUCCUUUAGUUCAUGGCCACCUUCUUGUUUCUACAACUCAAAGACCCCUCCUUUCUCCAAGUCUUCUAAGCGCCAUCUUCUUGGCAGCUUUCUGCAUGAACCGGAUGGGAAAACUCUUGGACAAGGCACCUUGGAUGAGGUUCGCGAGGCCUCUCCAUACACCUCUGCUUCCAAUGAGUCUCUCCAUCAGUAUGGACAGGAGAAAGGAUGAGAGACACGCCAGCUUCAGUCUUCUUCUCAUGGAGAAACUGAACUUGGAUGGGAAUGUCUUCAAGGGUUGGUUUUG
rnacentral:lncRNA from 1 species